AUCGCUUCUCGGCCUUUUGGCUAAGAUCAAAGUUUAGUUUCUGUUCUUAUC
rfam:Oesophagostomum dentatum strain OD-Hann O_dentatum-1.0_Cont9032.1, whole genome shotgun sequence.